CAAUAGCGUAUAUUAAAGUUGUUGCAGUUAAAAAGCUCGUAGUUGGAUUUCUGGCAGGAGCGACCGGUCACACACUCUGUGUGUGAACUUGCGUUGUCUCUGGCCAUCCUUGGGAAGAUCCUGUUUGGCAUUAAGUUGUCGGGCAGGGGAUACCCAUCGUUUACUGUGAAAAAAUUAGAGUGUUUAAAGCAGGCUUAUGCCGUUGAAUAUAUUAGCAUGGAAUAAUAAGAUAGGACUUCGGAACUAUUUUGUUGGUUUGCGUUACGAAGUAAUGAUUAAUAGGGACAGUUGGGGGUAUUCGUAUUUCGUUGUCAGAGGUGAAAUUCUUGGAUUUCCGAAAGACGAACUACUGCGAGAGCAUUUACCAAGGAUGUUUUCAUUAA
rnacentral:rRNA from 1 species